AACCACCUCAACGUCGGUAUCGCC
rnacentral:piRNA from 1 species